AACGCUGGCGGCAGGCCUAACACAUGCAAGUCGAACGGUAACAGGAAACAGCUUGCUGUUUCGCUGACGAGUGGCGGACGGGUGAGUAAUGUCUGGGAAACUGCCUGAUGGAGGGGGAUAACUACUGGAAACGGUAGCUAAUACCGCAUAACGUCGCAAGACCAAAGAGGGGGACCUUCGGGCCUCUUGCCAUCGGAUGUGCCCAGAUGGGAUUAGCUAGUAGGUGGGGUAACGGCUCACCUAGGCGACGAUCCCUAGCUGGUCUGAGAGGAUGACCAGCCACACUGGAACUGAGACACGGUCCAGACUCCUACGGGAGGCAGCAGUGGGGAAUAUUGCACAAUGGGCGCAAGCCUGAUGCAGCCAUGCCGCGUGUAUGAAGAAGGCCUUCGGGUUGUAAAGUACUUUCAGCGGGGAGGAAGGGAGUAAAGUUAAUACCUUUGCUCAUUGACGUUACCCGCAGAAGAAGCACCGGCUAACUCCGUGCCAGCAGCCGCGGUAAUACGGAGGGUGCAAGCGUUAAUCGGAAUUACUGGGCGUAAAGCGCACGCAGGCGGUUUGUUAAGUCAGAUGUGAAAUCCCCGGGCUCAACCUGGGAACUGCAUCUGAUACUGGCAAGCUUGAGUCUCGUAGAGGGGGGUAGAAUUCCAGGUGUAGCGGUGAAAUGCGUAGAGAUCUGGAGGAAUACCGGUGGCGAAGGCGGCCCCCUGGACGAAGACUGACGCUCAGGUGCGAAAGCGUGGGAAGCAAACAGGAUUAGAUACCCUGGUAGUCCACGCCGUAAACGAUGUCGACUUGGAGGUUGUGCCCUUGAGGCGUGGCUUCCGGAGCUAACGCGUUAAGUCGACCGCCUGGGGAGUACGGCCGCAAGGUUAAAACUCAAAUGAAUUGACGGGGGCCCGCACAAGCGGUGGAGCAUGUGGUUUAAUUCGAUGCAACGCGAAGAACCUUACCUGGUCUUGACAUCCACGGAAGUUUUCAGAGAUGAGAAUGUGCCUUCGGGAACCGUGAGACAGGUGCUGCAUGGCUGUCGUCAGCUCGUGUUGUGAAAUGUUGGGUUAAGUCCCGCAACGAGCGCAACCCUUAUCCUUUGUUGCCAGCGGUCCGGCCGGGAACUCAAAGGAGACUGCCAGUGAUAAACUGGAGGAAGGUGGGGAUGACGUCAAGUCAUCAUGGCCCUUACGACCAGGGCUACACACGUGCUACAAUGGCGCAUACAAAGAGAAGCGACCUCGCGAGAGCAAGCGGACCUCAUAAAGUGCGUCGUAGUCCGGAUUGGAGUCUGCAACUCGACUCCAUGAAGUCGGAAUCGCUAGUAAUCGUGGAUCAGAAUGCCACGGUGAAUACGUUCCCGGGCCUUGUACACACCGCCCGUCACACCAUGGGAGUGGGUUGCAAAAGAAGUAGAUAGCUUAACCUUCGGGAGGGCGCUUACCACUUUGUGAUUCAUAAA
rnacentral:rRNA from 1 species